rnacentral:rRNA from 1 species
GGGGAAUAUUGCACAAUGGGGGAAACCCUGAUGCAGCAACGCCGCGUGAGUGAUGACGGUCUUCGGAUUGUAAAGCUCUGUCUUCAGGGACGGUAAUGACGGUACCUGAGGAGGAAGCCACGGCUAACUACGUGCCAGCAGCCGCGGUAAUACGUAGGUGGCAAGCGUUGUCCGGAUUUACUGGGCGUAAAGGGAGCGUAGGUGGAUAUUUAAGUGGGAUGUGAAAUACUCGGGCUUAACCUGGGUGCUGCAUUCCAAACUGGAUAUCUAGAGUGCAGGGGAGGAAAGUAGAAUUCCUAGUGUAGCGGUGAAAUGCGUAGAGAUUAGGAAGAAUACCAGUGGCGAAGGCGACUUUCUGGACUGUAACUGACACUGAGGCUCGAAAGCGUGGGGAGCAAAC